AUCGAUGACAAUAUCAUCCUGAAUGUGCGCGAUCUUAUCGGAUCUCCAAAGCUAAACAGUGUUGAGCCUGGUUAAUACAGUACGUGCAAGGGAGACUGCCUGGGAAUAACAAGUCUUGUGGGUU
rnacentral:rRNA from 1 species